rnacentral:rRNA from 1 species
UUCAUGGAGAGUUUGAUCCUGGCUCAGGACGAACGCUGGCGGCGUGCCUAAUACAUGCAAGUCGAGCGGACCAACGGGAGCUUGCUCCCUUAGGUUAGCGGCGGACGGGUGAGUAACACGUGGGUAACCUGCCUGUAAGACUGGGAUAACUCCGGGAAACCGGGGCUAAUACCGGAUGCUUGAUUGAACCGCAUGGUUCAAUUAUAAAAGGUGGCUUUUAGCUACCACUUACAGAUGGACCCGCGGCGCAUUAGCUAGUUGGUGAGGUAACGGCUCACCAAGGCAACGAUGCGUAGCCGACCUGAGAGGGUGAUCGGCCACACUGGGACUGAGACACGGCCCAGACUCCUACGGGAGGCAGCAGUAGGGAAUCUUCCGCAAUGGACGAAAGUCUGACGGAGC